ACCAAAUUACGUCUGAAUGUGUAGACGCAGGUGGCGUCACGUGACUGUCUGAAACCAUGUCAGUGAUUUAGUUGAAAGUAACUCUUUCAUCUUCAGUGUGUACUUGACCAUUGUUUUGCUUCGAGUGUACAUUUGUAUGUAGGCUACUUCAGUCUUCUUUAGUCCACGGCUAACAUUGUUCAAUAAGUGAGUGAGUAAGUGUCCAGAUGUUGCAUAACACCGUGUCAAGCUGAUGUCACCUGUGUGUGUGUGUGUGUGUAUUUUACACUUCACUAAACACUAGUGACUAGCUGAUGUCUUGAUUUAUCUGUGAUCAAGUUUGAAGAGGGUUUAGUUGUCCAACUCUACAUCAAUGUCUUCAUUCCUCUUGAGUCUCACUUUGCUUUCAACACCAAUACAAUACAAUAUAAGAGUUAAUCGUGCAUUGCCUUAGCAAGAGUGUCCACUUUGAGCUUCUUCUAAAAGUUGUUGCUAGAAGCAGGCUGCAGUAGACUUAUUGAAACGUAGCAUCACUAGGUGAAGGUCACUGCAAGAAAUGCAUGAAAAGAAAAGAAGACUGGUUGUGAGGGAUAACUCUUGUGGUAAGUUUCUACAGCAUUCAUUCAGUCAUCACAUACUAUUGAUACUAUUUCUUACUCUUGCUUGGAGGCUUGUUGCUUUUGAUUGAUGCCUACAUCUUGAAAAUGAUUUAUUAUCUACUUCUAAAAAUCAAAAUUUUUAUGUGUAGAGAAAUUUUUCAUUGAAGACAAAAUACCUAUUCAUUAACUUGAUAUACAGUGCUUUUUUUGUGACAAUACGCACCUGUACAGUUUCUUAAUUUAUUAGUAGUUAAAUGUUAGGCAACCCAUCACUGAGUACUGGCACCUAUUUAUUUACAACAAAAAAAGCAAUAUAUAUAUAUAUCUAUUAGGUAAUGCUAAUCUAUCUCUAUAUCAAACAAAAUGCACAAUAGACAUCAAGGGAUAACUUUAUAAAAAAAAUAAUUUUUAGCAACUUUAUUAUGACCAGAGAUUUGGAUCUAAAUAGCUAGAUCUAGUAAAACACACACUCACACACAAACUGAGAGAGACAGAAGUGGAGAGGCUAUAGAUCUAUAGAUAGAUGAAUAAAAAAACAACUUGGGUAUCAAGUAACCGAACUAGGUAUUCUUGCUUUUAAGCCAGUUAUGAGCAUAUGUCUAGCAUUAUGUUUUAAAGAUAACUACAAUUAUUUUAAACUGCUAUGAAACUACUCUGAACUGGAAAUAGUACCCACCUGCAAAUCCUUCUUGUCUACAAAGUAUGCAGGUUACAUUGAAUUGUUGAUAAACACAAUUAGUCAAGAAAGUGGAAUCUGUUUUAUUUGUUUGUCAGUUACAUCAGGUUACAUUGAAUUGUUGAUAAACACAAUUAGUCAAGAAAGUGGAAUCUGUUUUAUUGGUUUGUCAGUUACAUCAGGUUACAUUGAAUUGUUGAUAAACACAAUUAGUCAAGAAAGUGGAAUCUGUUUUAUUGGUUUGUCAGUUACAUCGUGGCCAUUUAUUAUCUAGAUAUAGAGCCUCGUGCUACAAGUUUUUUUGUUGUUGUUUUUUUUGGCACGUGAAUGAUCUCCCCUCCUCUUGGUUGACUGUUGGUUUCAACUGAAAGGUCGUCGUCUUGUGCUUUCACCAGGUUUACUUUGAGUACUGGGCCUUCCUUCUUGUUUGUACACACUGACUACUGCGCAGUCUGCCGGCCACUUCUCUCUUGGUUUGUUCUGAGUGAUGGAGAUCUAUAAUGAAGGCAUGGUUCUAAGUUUCUACUAAAUCAAAGAAAUAACUUUAAGGCCACAAACUCUGGAGGAAGUGUGGUGCAUGGAGUUAAGACUUUGAUUUGGUUUCCCCUGACAAUUCAGUUGAUCUUGUUUGUGGUGACUCUUCAACGUGCUUUCAUGGGACUAAUUGUUGUCAGUGUGAGCUAGACAUCAGCAGCAAGCUUAGAAAAUGUUUGUGUUGCAAUUGGUAUGGAAAUUAUUUCUUAUUUAACAAAAUGUUCUGUAGACUUGAUAUGGCAAUGAGUGUCUGCCACAGCUAUGGCUGGAUU
rnacentral:sRNA from 1 species